rnacentral:rRNA from 1 species
AGUGAACGCUGGCGGCGUGCUUAACACAUGCAAGUCGAACGAGAACGGAUUAUAGCUUGCUAUAAUUGUCAGCUAAGUGGCGCACGGGUGAGUAAUGUAUAGGUAAUAUGCCUCUUACUAAGGGAUAACAAAUGGAAACGUUUGCUAAUACCUUAUACUCCUUUUAAACAGAAGUCUAAAAGGGAAAGAUUUAUUGGUAAGAGAUUAGCCUGUAUUGUAUCAGUUAGUUGGUGGGGUAAUGGCUUACCAAGACUAUGACCCAUAACUGGUUUGGGAGGAUGAUCGGUCACACUGGAACUGAGACACGGUCCAGACUCCUACGGGAGGCAGCAGUGGGGAAUAUUGCACAAUGGACGAAAGUCUGAUGCAGCAACGCCUCGUGGAGGAUGACACAUUUCGGUGCGUAAACUCCUUUUAUAUGAGAAGAUAAUGACGGUAUUAUAUGAAUAAGCACCGGCUAACUCCGUGCCAGCAGCCGCCGUAA